rnacentral:rRNA from 1 species
UACGGAGGGUGCGAGCGUUGUCCGGAAUCAUUGGGCGUAAAGGGCGCGUAGGUGGCCCGCUCAGCGUGCGGUGAAAGCUCGGGGCUCAACCCCGAGUCGGCCGUGCGAACUGGUGGGCUGGAGCACUGUAGAGGCAGGCGGAAUUCCGGGUGUAGCGGUGGAAUGCGUAGAGAUCCGGAAGAACACCGGUGGCGAAGGCGGCCUGCUGGGCAGUUUUGCUGACACUGAGGCGCGACAGCGUGGGGAGCAAACAGG